rnacentral:rRNA from 1 species
AUUGAACGCUGGCGGCAGGCUUAACACAUGCAAGUCGAGCGGGGGAGGUUGCUUCGGUAACUGACCUAGCGGCGGACGGGUGAGUAAUGCUUAGGAAUCUGCCUAUUAGUGGGGGACAACAUUCCGAAAGGGAUGCUAAUACCGCAUACGCCCUACGGGGGAAAGCAGGGGAUCUUCGGACCUUGCGCUAAUAGAUGAGCCUAAGUCGGAUUAGCUAGUUGGUGGGGUAAAGGCCUACCAAGGCGACGAUCUGUAGCGGGUAUGAGAGGAUGACCCGCCACACUGGGACGUAGACACGGCCAAGACUCCGACGGGAGGCAGCAGUGGGGAAUAUUGGACAAUGGGCGGAAGCCUGAGCCAGCCAUGCCGCGUGUGUGAAGAAGGCCUUUUGGUUGUAAAGCACUUUUGUUGGGAAAGAAAUCUUGCCGGUUAAUACCUGGCGAGGAUGACGGUACCCAAAGAAUAAGCACCGGCUAACUUCGUGCCAGCAGCCGCGGUAACAC